GUAGGUGACCUGCAGGUGGAUCAUCG
rnacentral:rRNA from 1 species